rnacentral:tRNA from 1 species
GGAGAGGUGGCUGAGUGGUCGAAAGCGGCGGUCUUGAAAACCGUUGACCCUCGCGGGUCCGUGGGUUCGAAUCCCACCCUCUCCGCCA